rnacentral:misc_RNA from 1 species
ACAUCAGUCUUGUACCCAAAAAGUGGGGGGAAUCUUCAUUGCUUUACUGCAGUCACCCCUUGUGCUGUGCUCGACAUUCUCACGCCCUCUUACAGUGAAGAUGCAGGGAGGAAAUGUACUUACUACCAUGAUUACCCUUAUUCCCCCUUCUGUACAGAUGGAGCUGAAAUAAGUGAUAGUAAAGAAGAGGACUAUGCAUGGCUUGCAGAGAUAUCAACACCAGACAAUCUUUAUAUGCAUCAAGGUAUAUACAGGCC